UAAAUGGAUAAUUGUUUUUCGCUCAUAAUAAAAUUGUUUUGUAAUGUUUUGACGCGCAAGUGACUGAAGCGCAUUUCCAAUUAAUUUCAAGUAUUCGCAUUUUUCGAGCCGUAGUCACACACGCGUCGAUUCCGCAUCCGAGCUAGUCCGAGCCAUUUCGCUGUGCACAGGUAAGAUGGCGGCUAAGUAGAAGCAGCUGAUCAGUGCCGUGGCCCGCAUUUAGUGUACCUUUGCCCGUAACGCUGCACGAUUAGAUGAGUCUCGGCCUCCGUGGUGUGCUUUCGCCCGAGAAGAAUUUCGAAAGCUGUGAACAUCAUGGAAACCGUGAAAGCGUAGCGCAAGGAUAACCAAGAAUCGAUGAAGGUUGGAAAGCAGUACAUCGCAACAGAUACUGAAAACCAGGAGGCGGCAAUUUGGGCGGGCUGGAGGGCCGCGUCAUGGACGUUUUGAGCCGGACCGGCCCAGGCUACGCGCCGGUGGAUUUUUUCGCCGAUGACG